AACUACUGGAAACGGUAGCUAAUACCGCAUAACGUCGCAAGACCAAAGAGGGGGACCUUCGGGCCUCUUGCCAUCGGAUGUGCCCAGAUGGGAUUAGCUAGUAGGUGGGGUAACGGCUCACCUAGGCGACGAUCCCUAGCUGGUCUGAGAGGAUGACCAGCCACACUGGAACUGAGACACGGUCCAGACUCCUACGGGAGGCAGCAGUGGGGAAUAUUGCACAAUGGGCGCAAGCCUGAUGCAGCCAUGCCGCGUGUAUGAAGAAGGCCUUCGGGUUGUAAAGUACUUUCAGCGGGGAGGAAGGCGACAGGGUUAAUAACCCUGUCGAUUGACGUUACCCGCAGAAGAAGCACCGGCUAACUCCGUGCCAGCAGCCGCGGUAAUACGGAGGGUGCAAGCGUUAAUCGGAAUUACUGGGCGUAAAGCGCACGCAGGCGGUCUGUCAAGUCGGAUGUGAAAUCCCCGGGCUCAACCUGGGAACUGCAUUCGAAACUGGCAGGCUAGAGUCUUGUAGAGGGGGGUAGAAUUCCAGGUGUAGCGGUGAAAUGCGUAGAGAUCUGGAGGAAUACCGGUGGCGAAGGCGGCCCCCUGGACAAAGACUGACGCUCAGGUGCGAAAGCGUGGGGAGCAAACAGGAUUAA
rnacentral:rRNA from 1 species